UACAGAGGUCUCGAGCGUUAGGCGGAAUCACUGGGCUUAAAGCGUGUGUAGGUGGAUCGUUAAGUACCUUGUGAAAUCCCACGGCUUAACCGUGGAACUGCUUGGUAUACUGGCGGUCUUGAGCCACUUAGGGGCUACCGGAACAAAUGAUGGAGCGGUGAAAUGCGUAGAUAUCAUUUGGAACGCCAAUGGUGAAAACAGGUAGCUGGGAGUGUGCUGACGCUGAGACACGAAAGCCAGGGGAGCAAACGGG
rnacentral:rRNA from 1 species